UCGUAUAACAGAGAUGCCCAGGGCUGUCGCUGACCUUCACAGGUCGUGCACGCCCAAAGGUGCUCUCUUAUGUCCAUCUCACCCCUUUGUGCAUCACCGCGUGUGCCCCCCCUCUAUUGGGCUUGUUCCAAAGGGGAGGUUCACGUUUUAACAUAGACACCAAUUUUUGAGAGCAUGUGUAGAAUGUCUUACUUUUUGCGAUUAUGUGCAAUCAAUA
rnacentral:misc_RNA from 1 species